AAAAGGAGCCUUUGAGAACCUACACGCAGGAGAAAUAGUAACACAGCAGUCAACUUGCCCUUGCAUCAAGGGCAGCUAAGGCUGUGUUAGCAAAAAUAAGAAAGACUCUGCUGGGCCAAGUGCCAUGUCCUAGCUCCAUGCCUCCACUACCGAGCAACCCCCUGGCCGACAGCACUUCACUCCUGUCCGAGGGCUCAUGGCUGAGCACUGUAGCGUCGACAGGACAAUGGCCCUGGGCUGCUGGCAGGUUGCAGGCAGGUGGAGAGAUGACAGGCUGUACAUUCUCUGUCCUUGGAGGUUUUCGAGACUGGAUAAAGCUGGAAGCAAUUUGGUCAGAUUUUCAGCCAACCCUGAUUUGAACAAGAAGCUGAUCCACAAACCUCCAGAGGUGCCUUCCAACUAGAACUAUGCUGUGCCCAUGGCAGCAUAAGGAAGAUGAGGUGUUGUUGCCGAUGGAUAAUAGAAUAGCAGCUUCUGGCCUUUAUUUCCUUCAGCCGGAGCCAAAUGUUUGAUGACUACUGAAGACAAACUCUUCCAUGCUUCACCAGAAAGAGUAAUUGGGUAUGGCUACAGAGACAGCUCAACCUCGUAGUGCAAGACUUAUCCACAUGCAUUUCUAGUUAGCUUAAGCUGUGAGCUCCUGAGCCAACGAGUGCUGACAUUUUGAAUUGCACUGCAUGGACAUAAAAUUUAGCCAGGCAUUUAAGUAAUGAGCAGAAAUUUCUUUUAAUCUUGUCAUAUUCCCUUGAAGGCAGUCACAAAAUACAAGUACAAACUAUU